GGAAGGUAGAAUUCCCGGUGUAGCGGUGAAAUGCGUAGAGAUCGGGAGGAAUACCAGUGGCGAAGGCGGCCUUCUGGACUGACACUGACACUGAGGUGCGAAAGCGUGGGUAGCAAACAGGAUUAGAUACCCUGGUAGUCCACGCCGUAAACGAUGUCGACCAGCCGUUGGGUGCCUAGCGCACUUUGUGGCGAAGUUAACGCGAUAAGUCGACCGCCUGGGGAGUACGGCCGCAAGGUUAAAACUCAAAUGAAUUGACGGGGGCCCGCACAAGCGGUGGAGCAUGUGGUUUAAUUCGAUGCAACGCGAAGAACCUUACCUACUCUUGACAUCCUGCGAACUUGUGAGAGAUCACUUGGUGCCUUCGGGAACGCAGAGACAGGUGCUGCAUGGCUGUCGUCAGCUCGUGUUGUGAAAUGUUGGGUUAAGUCCCGUAACGAGCGCAACCCUUGUCCUUAUUUGCCAGCGCGUAAUGGCGGGAACUCUAAGGAGACUGCCGGUGACAAACCGGAGGAAGGUGGGGACGACGUCAAGUCAUCAUGGCCCUUACGAGUAGGGCUACACACGUGCUACAAUGGUCGGUACAAAGGGUUGCCAACUCGCGAGAGUGAGCCAAUCCCGAAAAGCCGAUCUCAGUCC
rnacentral:rRNA from 1 species